GUUACACUGUCUACUGUCACGCACCAACCGCCAAGACAAAUUCCUUGUAUGUUUGACAUAUUUUAGCACUAAAUGUUUCCUGGUUCCUGAUUCCUGACAUGAGCUAAAGGACAUAUUUUUGGAUGCAGAGAUUGCUGCAGAACUGUCCGUCUGUCUUUUCCCUUCACUUCACCCGUUUGUCUGCUUCCUUUGCUCUCCUCCUGCGGCCCCCCUCUCUCUCUCUGCCGCGUGGCAGUUCAAAAGCCCAUCGGGACGAUGCUGAAUCUUUAAUGAUCGGGGCAGGUGAUCCCUCGAUUUCGUCGCUGUCAGAGCCGGCUGCUUUGAUGUCUGAUAUCGCACAAAGUAACGAAGCGACAGGCAGUUAAAAGCCAACGCACGAACAUAUACGGACCGGGAAAUUAAUCAGGCAAAGAUUGAGAAAAAUACAGAUGGAGGCCGGGAAGCAUAGAGGAAAAGACGAUGGACAGGCAGGCCAAAGAAAAAGACCCUCUCAAGAAUUUCCCAAACAGCACUUUGAACAGAAUGUAACCAAUGUUGUGCCUCUCCAGCAGGCCGCCCCUAUCAACGACUUUGGGCCCCACAAACCACCAGAAAGCAGGGUAC
ensembl:lncRNA